rnacentral:lncRNA from 1 species
GAGAUGUCACAUUCCAUGAAACAAUAUUCUCAUUUUCUACUCUACCCCAAGACAUACAAACCAACUACCUAGACCCCUCAGUCCAACCUUUGCCUUUACCAAAUGUCACAUAUCAACCCACACUCACCAAUCCCUCAAACAUGGCACACGUACCAACAGACCCAACACCAAUACCUUCCUCACCAAAUAUUACAAAAUCAUCUCACACUCAGCCCAACCAAUCCCAUGACAACAUCCAGCCCAACCCAACUACUCCAUCUUCACAAAAUAACACCACGUUAACCUUGCCGUCACCACCCUCUACUCAACUACCACCUCCUGAACCUAUACACACUACAAUCGACACACCCAUGCCAUCAACAGUGACCACUCCACCUGUCGUUCCAUGACAAAGUCAACGUGAACGCCACCCACCACCACACCUCCAAGAUUACCACUGCUCCAAUGCCACCGUGCUUUCCUCCGAGUCGUCGUAUUCUAGUCAAUGUACUCAUCAUCCUUUAUCCAAUUUUGUUUCUUAUGAUCAUUUAUCUACCCCUCACCGUUGUUUUAUCACUAGUGUAUCGACUCUUGA